CUGAGACUCCGCGGCCAUAUACACCUUACGACGUGUGUGUGUGUGGCGGGAGAUGGGAGGGGAGGAAUCCUGUAGAACCCAGAUCCCAUCAUUCCAGCAACUGCCAGAGCGUUCGAGAAUGUCAUGUCUGUACCUGUCUUCUCUCAUCUUUUGUGCCAACUGUUUUAUCAAACUUCUACCCCACUUUAGGUCUUCCAGAGUACAACACAAAUAUACUGCCCAGGUUCUAAAACAUGUAUAAGAGUUAACAAAAUCAGCUGAGGUUGAGCAGAAAUUGUAUAGGAAAAAAUAGGAAAAACACAGAGACCAAUCUCAGCUGCAAGAAGGUUCAGCUAGACACUGCAAGCAAAAGUAUAACUCCUGAAGACUGCAGGGAGCAAGUGCAGACACCGGGAGAC
rnacentral:lncRNA from 10 species